rnacentral:tRNA from 1 species
UAUAAAGUAAACUAAACUAAUAAGUUAAUAGGUUCAUACCCUAUAUAUGAUAUAAUCCUUUAUAA